AGAGUUUGAUCCUGGCUCAGAUUGAACGCUGGCGGCAUGCCUUACACAUGCAAGUCGAACGGUAACAGGUCUUCGGAUGCUGACGAGUGGCGAACGGGUGAGUAAUACAUCGGAACGUGCCCGAGAGUGGGGGAUAACGGAGCGAAAGCUUUGCUAACACCGCAUACGAUCUACGGAUGAAAGCAGGGGACCGCAAGGCCUUGCGCUCAUGGAGCGGCCGAUGGCAGAUUAGGUAGUUGGUGGGAUAAAAGCUUACCAAGCCGACGAUCUGUAGCUGGUCUGAGAGGACGACCAGCCACACUGGGACUGAGACACGGCCCAGACUCCUACGGGAGGCAGCAGUGGGGAAUUUUGGACAAUGGGCGCAAGCCUGAUCCAGCCAUGCCGCGUGCAGGAUGAAGGCCUUCGGGUUGUAAACUGCUUUUGUACGGAACGAAAAGACUC
rnacentral:rRNA from 1 species